rnacentral:rRNA from 1 species
GACGAACGCUGGCGGCGUGCCUAAUACAUGCAAGUCGGACGCUUCUUUUUCCACCUGGUGCUUGCACCAACCGGAGAAAGAGGAGUGGCGGACGGGUGAGUAACACGUGGGUAACCUGCCCAUUAGAAGGGGAUAACACUUGGAAACAGGUGCUAAUACCGUAUAAUUCUUACGACCGCAUGGUCGUUUGAUAAAAGACGCUUUCGGGUGUCACUAAUGGAUGGACCCGCGCUGCAUUAGUUAGUUGGUGAGGUAACGGCUCACCAAGACCAUGAUGCAUAGCCGACCUGAGAGGGUGAUCGGCCACACUGGGACUGAGACACGGCCCAGACUCCUACGGGAGGCAGCAGUAGGGGAAUCUUCGGCAAUGGACAAAGUCUGACCGAGCGACGCCGCGUGAGUGAAGAAGGUUUUCGGAUCGUAAAACUCUGUUGUUAGAGAAGAACAGGUGGGAGAGUAACUGUUCCACCUUGACGGUAUCUAACCAGAAAGCCACGGCUAACUACGUGCCAGCCGCC